CAGACUGUAGAGCUAGUCAUAAACUCACAGUCAAUGUUAUCAACGAUCAGCUGAUCAAGAAAACUUAAAGAGAGAACUGUGAGACCAAACACUGUUUUUUUUUUUUGUUUGUUUUUUUUGCUUUUUGGGAUAAACCAGGUUAAAAGAUGAAAUUAACCAAGACAAAAACAAACUGGCUUCUCAUAUUGAUUCUUGCAUUUCACAUGACUUCUUCAGAAGCUUCUCUGUGGUACAUUUGGGAACCACUGACGUCUAUAUUGAUGUUAAACCUGCACACACAGACUUGUGUCUUCAUUAUCAUCAAGAAGAAUAUAUACACAGUGGAGAUCAAAAUUAGAGAACAAUCUAUAAUUUCCUAGAUUUCAAGGUCACAGCUUAGUCCUAUCUGAAGUUAUCCUAAAAGGAAUAGAAGAGCGGUUUUUAAGCAUAUUUCAUAAAUUAAUUGUAUUCUGAAGCACAGUAUAACAAAUUUAAAUGAGAUAUUUGAAAAAGAAUUCUGACCAAAAUUAGAGAACGCUUACAGAUACCUAAAAGUUAUUGGUGUUAAUCUGGCACAUGGUACUAAUUUCCUUAAUUAUCUGACAAACUCUAUUGAACUGGCAGCAUUGCUCCAAUUUUCACUGAGAUUGCUAUAUAGCGGUCUGCUCUAAGGUGACUGAAACCCUUAAACAAGAGGCCGUCCAGAUGAAGGCCAAAGGGACUGGUGGUUCCAAAUAUGUGAUUUCUUAAAUAUAACAGGUUUAUAAUGACAUUAAUUCAUUCAAGUCCCCCAAAAAGGCUGGUCAUCAUGUAAGACAAAUGCAUGAGAAGAGAGGAUAAUGCAGAGACUCUCAAUGGUGAAUCGGUUCAACACUGCAGCUGGAAUUGCUCUCCGGCUCAGAGCUGAACAGGGUCUGGAUCUGUCUCGGCAUGUUUAAGAGACGUCGGACUGAAAGCACACUGCAGUGACCAAGCCUCUCAUCAACUGAAAGAAUCGGAAGGCAGGACUCACCUUUGCUGAGGAGCAUGUUGUGUGGAGAGAGGAGAACUGCUCC
rnacentral:lncRNA from 12 species